CGCGGGGUGGAGCAGCCUGGUAGCUCGUCGGGCUCAUAACCCGAAGGUCGUCGGCUCAAAUCCGGCCCCCGCAACCA
rnacentral:tRNA from 4 species